UAUCAGAAGUGCGAAUGCUGACAUGAGUAACGAUAAUGCGGGUGAAAAACCCGCACGCCGGAAGACCAAGGGUUCCUAUCCCAUGUUAAUCAGGGUAGGGUGAGUCGACCCCUAAGGCGAGGCUGAAGAGCGUAGUCGAUGGGAAACGGGUUAAUAUUCCCGUACUUGGUAUAAAUGCGAUGGGGGGACGGAGCAGGCUAGGCAAGCAUGGCGUUGGUUGUCCAUGUGAAAGGCUGUAGGCUGGUGACUUAGGAAAAUCCGGGUCGCUAAGGCUGAGAGUCGAGACGAGCCACUACGGUGGUGAAGUUGUUGAUGCCCUACUUCCAGGAAAAGCCUCUAAGCUUCAGUUUAUAUCGAAUCGUACCCUAAACCGACACAGGUGGUCAGGUAGAGAAUACUAAGGCGCUUGAGAGAACUCGGGUGAAGGAACUAGGCAAAAUUGUACCGUAACUUCGGGAGAAGGUACGCUCUUGUUUGUGAAGGACUUGCUCCGUAAGCAGACGAGAGCCGCAGUGACCAGGUGGCUGGGACUGUUUAUUAAAAACACAGCACUGUGCAAAAUCGUAAGAUGACGUAUACGGUGUGACACCUGCCCGGUGCCGGAAGGUUAAUUGAUGGGGUUAGUCUUCGGACGAAGCUCUUGAUCGAAGCCCCGGUAAACGGCGGCCGUAACUAUAACGGUCCUAAGGUAGCGAAAUUCCUUGUCGGGUAAGUUCCGACCUGCACGAAUGGUGUAACCAUGGCCACGCUGUCUCCACCCGAGACUCAGUGAAAUUGAAAUCGCAGUGAAGAUGCUGUGUACCCGCGGCUAGACGGAAAGACCCCGUGAACCUUUACUACAGCUUGGCACUGAACAUUGACCCUACAUGUGUAGGAUAGGUGGGAGGCUUUGAAGCGCGCACGCUAGUGCACGUGGAGCCGACCUUGAAAUACCACCCUUGUAGUGUUGAUGUUCUAACUUAGGCCCCUAAUCGGGGUUGAGGACAGUGCCUGGUGGGUAGUUUGACUGGGGCGGUCUCCUCCCAAAGAGUAACGGAGGAGCACGAAGGUUGGCUAAGUACGGUCGGACAUCGUACGGUUAGUGUAAUGGUAGAAGCCAGCUUAACUGCGAGACAGACACGUCGAGCAGGUACGAAAGUAGGUCAUAGUGAUCCGGUGGUUCUGAAUGGAAGGGCCAUCGCUCAACGGAUAAAAGGUACUCCGGGGAUAACAGGCUGAUACCGCCCAAGAGUUCAUAUCGACGGCGGUGUUUGGCACCUCGAUGUCGGCUCAUCACAUCCUGGGGCUGAAGUCGGUCCCAAGGGUAUGGCUGUUCGCCAUUUAAAGUGGUACGCGAGCUGGGUUUAGAACGUCGUGAGACAGUUCGGUCCCUAUCUGCCGUGGGCGUUUGAGAAUUGAGAGGGGCUGCUCCUAGUACGAGAGGACCGGAGUGGACGAACCGCUGGUGUUCGGGUUGUCAUGCCAAUGGCAUUGCCCGGUAGCUACGUUCGGAAUCGAUAACCGCUGAAAGCAUCUAAGCGGGAAGCGAGCCUCGAGAUGAGUUCUCACUUUAACUUAGAGUUAACUAAAGGGCCGUUGAAGACUACAACGUUGAUAGGCGAGAUGUGGAAGUGGUGUGAGCCAUUGAGCUAACUCGUACUAAUUACCCGUGAGGCUUAACCAU
rnacentral:rRNA from 1 species